UCUCUAUUUCAAUCUAUUCUUACAUGUCAGUUAUUGAAAAACAAUAGACAAUCGCAAAAACAAGUUGUGACCUUUUUGUGUUCCUUAAGCCCAGUCACGAAGGCACUUGUGACUGGGUCUCAUGCCAAACAACUUGUUACAAAAACAGCUAGAGUCCCAGACUGCACCGAAACUUCAUGAGACCUUCCCUCGCUGUGCAUGGACCAGUGGCUGACUCUGGAGCACAGGCUGUUGCUUCCCGGUCUGGUGAUGAAUCCUCCAUAGUUUGGCAUCUCCCGCACAGAACAGCAUGGUGGCGGGUGCCUGUAAUCCCAGCUAUUCAGGAGGCUUGAGGCAGGAGAAUCGCUUGAACCUGGGAGGCAGAGGUUGCAGUGAGCAGAGACUGCAUCAGAGCAGCCUGGGUGACAGAGUAAGAUUCUGUGAAAGAAAAGUGAAGAAAAAAGAGAAGAGAAGAGAAGAACAAAAAAUUCUAAAAUUUAUGUGGAGUCACAAAACACCCGAAUAGCCAAAGCUAUCUUAAGCAAAAAGAACAAAACUGGGGGAAUCACAUUACCGGAUUUCCAAUUAUACUGGAGAGCUAUAGUAACCAAAACAGCAUGGUAUUGGCAUAAAAACACACAUAUAGACCAAUGGAACAGAAUAGAGAACCCAGAAACAAAAUCCACACACCUACAGUGAAGUCAUUUUCCACAAAGGUGCCAAGAACGUACACUGAGGAAAAGACAGUCUCUUCAAUAAAUGGUGCUGGGAAAACUGAAUAUCCAUAAUGCAGAAGAAUGAAACUAGACCCCUACCUCUCACCAUAAACAAAAAUCAAAUCAAAAUGAAUUAAAGACUUAAAUCUAAGAUCUUAAACUAUGAAACUAGUACAAGGAAAUGUCUGGCAAACUCUCAAAGACAUUGGUCUGGGCAAAAAUUUAUUGAAUAAUACCCCACAAGCACAGGCAACCAAAGCAAAAAUGCACAAAUGGGAUCACAUUAAGUUAAAAAGCUUCUGCAAGGCCAGG
rnacentral:lncRNA from 10 species